rnacentral:SRP_RNA from 1 species
UCGUGCUAGAUGGGGGGUCGGCGGUCCCCUGCAACCCGAAACCCGCCUAUGCGGGAUCGAAAGAACGUCAUGAGGCCGGACCGGGGCGAACAAGGUCCACUGGUCCGAAGCGUUGAAGGCUGGGUCUUGCGAUGGUCGCCGCUGCGAACCCCGCCAGGACCGGAAGGUAGCAACGGUAAGCGGAAUGGUGUCCAGUCGCAAGUCUGCCUGGCUGGAGCUGACGACCGAUGCGACCCUCUCCCCGACCGGUCGAAGACGUCCGCACGA